rnacentral:sRNA from 1 species
AAGGUAUUAAAAUUUACUUAGCGCUGC